GACGAACGCUGGCGGCGUGCUUAACACAUGCAAGUCGAACGGAAAGGCCCUGCUUUUGUGGGGCGCUCGAGUGGCGAACGGGUGAGUAACACGUGAGUAACCUGCCCUUGACUUUGGGAUAACUUCAGGAAACUGGGGCUAAUACCGGAUAGGAGCUCCUGCUGCAUGGUGGGGGUUGGAAAGUUUCGGCGGUUGGGGAUGGACUCGCGGCUUAUCAGCUUGUUGGUGGGGUAGUGGCUUACCAAGGCUUUGACGGGUAGCCGGCCUGAGAGGGUGACCGGCAAAAUGGGAAAGGAGAUACGGCCCAAACUCCUAGGGGGGGCAGAGGGGGGGAAUAUGGCAAAAGGGGCGGAAGCGGAAGGAGGAAACGCGGGGGGGGGGAGGAGGGCCUUGGGGUGGAAAACCGCUUUCGCCUGGGACGAAGGGGGGGGGACGGAAAGGGGAAAAGAAGCACCGGCUAAUAACGU
rnacentral:rRNA from 1 species